GGUCUUCAGGGCAGGGUGCGAUCCCCUACUGGCGGUAAAGUCCGCGAGCACUGCAGUGCAGAUUUGGUGAGAUUCCAAAACCAACAGUUACAGUCUGGAUGAAAGAAGA
rnacentral:ncRNA from 1 species